UCCCUACGGGGCGCAGCAGUAGGGAAUAUUGCUCAAUGGGGGAAACCCUGAAGCAGCAACGCCGCGUGGAGGAUGAAGGUUUUCGGAUUGUAAACUCCUUUUGUUAGAGAAGAUAUUGACGGUAUCUAACGAAUAAGCACCGGCUAACUCCGUGCCAGCAGCCGCGGUAAUACGGAGGGUGCAAGCGUUACUCGGAAUCACUGGGCGUAAAGAGCGCGUAGGCGGGAUAGCAAGUCAGAUGUGAAAUCCUAUGGCUUAACUUCGGUUCGUUUUAGAAACUGGCAGACUUGAGUAUGGUAGAGGCA
rnacentral:rRNA from 1 species